rnacentral:rRNA from 1 species
AUAGCCCGGAGAUGGAUUCUGAGACACGAAUCCAGACCCUACGGGGUGCAGCAGGCGCGAAAACUUGGCAAUGCGAGCAAUCGUGACCAGGGAACUCCAAGUGGCUGGGGUAAUACCCAGUUUUUUCUUGACUCUUCAAAGGUCUUGGAAUAAGGGGUGGGUAAGGACGGUGCCAGCCGCCGCGGUAAUACCGGCGCCUCAAGUGGUAGUCGCUUUUAUUGGGCCUAAAACGUCCGUAGCCGGUCUGGUGCAUUCGUGGGUAAAUCAACCCGCUCAACGGGUUGAAUUCUGCGAGCACGGCCAGACUUGGGACCGGGAGAGGUGUGGGGUACUCUCAGGGUAGGGGUAAAAUCCUGUCAUCCUGAGAGGACCACCUGUUGCGAAGGCGCCACACUAGAACGGAUUCGACGGUCAGGGACGAAACCUAGGGGCACGAACCGGAUUAGAUACCCGGGUAGUCCUAGGUGUAAACGCUGUGGACUUGAUGUUGGGGGUGCUCCGAACACUCUCAGUGUCGAAGCGAAGGUGAUAAGUCCACUGCCUGGGGAGUACGGUCGCAAGGCUGAAACUUAAAGGAAUUGGCGGGGGAGCACUGCAACCUGAGGAUUGUGCGGUUUAAUUGGACUCAACGCCGGGA